UAUCGAAGCCUAGAAAUGAACUCAUUUUUCAGAGACGCAAAGCAUGUUUGCAUCAUUUUAAUGUGUACUCCACACUAGUGACUGUGACCUCCCCUCUCAUUUUCCUGUCUUUCUUUAAAUGGAAAUGGCUCUGAUAUUAUUUCUCAGAUCCUGACUUCUUGAUCAUAGUUCGACAUCUGAUGCCAUCACAUCUUCUGGGAAGGCGUACCCAAGUAUCGACAUGGUUUCCAGGAAGUUGCAAAGGCUGUACAGGGAGGUCCGUGCACCAUUCACCCAUUUUCCCCCAUGGUUGCACCUUGCCUUACCCCAGAGCAACAGCAAACGGGAGACUGAGAUUGGGGCCAUGUGGAUAUAGUUCCAUUGUGUUUUUAAUUGCUCUAACUGCAACAAGAUACAUUAAAUGGAAACCAGAAAGAGCAAUGACAGGACUGAGUCCUAACAAUGAUAAAAGCAUGUCUUCGGAUGGUGGCUUCCAAGGGUCAGGAAGCUGGCUUCUGGGACCACUAACAUGGAAGAGAGAGGAAUGAAGAAAGAAGAGGCAGAGAGAGGGCAAGCUGUGAUGUUGGCCCCAUGGGGAGCCCAUCAGAACUGUCUUGGUGA